rnacentral:siRNA from 1 species
ACAUACUAUUGGUACAACGGC